UUCAAAGUUCCAAGAGCCAGGAGCUCCGGUGUUCGAGGGCAAGAGCUGGAUGUCCCCAUUCACGGAGCGAGAGGGAAAGCUCAACCUUCAGGUGGGCCCAGAGAACCCCUACCUAGGGCGAGCCAGACCGCAGAGUGAGAACUGCGCAUGCUCUCAGGACAGCAAGUGCAGUCUCAGCCAAUCACAGCAUCCGAGUGUCAGCCAAUCAUAGCAGCUGACCCUCAGCCAAUCACAGCAGCUGAUCCUCAGCCAAUCACAGCAGCUGAUCCUCAGCCAAUCACAGCAACUGGGUUGCAAUAUGAGCCUCAGCCAGUGGUGGUACCCUCCUGCCAUAGUCCUUUCCACAUCCGAGGCCGUUUGGUUUCCACCAUCCAGGCUCCCGGCCCUGGGGCAGCCCUGGCGGUUCUGACACUGGAUCUGGGGGUCCCAAUGGUACUCAGGAGGCUGAGGCAGGAGAAUUGCUUAAACCCAGAAAGCAGAGGUUGCAGUUAGCUGAGAUUGUGUCACUGCACUCCGACCUGGGCAACAGAGCAAGACUCCAUUCAAGGGGAGAAAGAAGAAAGAUGGCGGUUUAAGAGCAGCUCAGGAUUGCAGCUCCCAGUGAAAGUGCAGAGGACACAUCCACAGAAGUGAUGAGGAGAAAAAAGGACAUCACAGAGGGCGAAGCCAAGAGGUAUGGAGAGUGGUGUAUAAGGAGCUACUCCAGGGAGCAGAACAACGACUAAGAGCAAGAGGCAUCCUGUGGCUUGGCUCCUUAGAUGUACUUCUGUAUGCUCCCCUACACUGCAGAGACAUCCAAAUGCCUUCAGCUGAUUAAAGUCAAUUGCUCUGGUGACCACAGAUUCCAUACCAGGAGUCACUCUGCUCAAGAAGUCCUUUUCCUGAUCCGUUUAGCCUUUUCAUAACAGUCUACGGUGAAAAGUCUUGUCAGCUGCUGUUUGCAUUGUAGGUGGGGACAGCAACAUGGAUGCAGCUGGUGGCCGUCAUCCUAAGCAAAUUAAUGCAGGAACAGAAAAUGGAAUACCACAUGUUCUCACUUAAGGUAAGAGCUAAGCACUGAGCAUACAUGGACAUAACUAUCGGAACAAUAGACGAGACUACCAGAGGGUGUAGGGAGCAGGGAGUGGGUUACGAGACUACCUCACGGGUACUGUGCUCACUACCAGGGUGACAGGGUCCAUACUCCAACCUGCAGCCCCACCUGAUUCUCCGAGGCAACACAUCUGCACAUGUACCCACUGAAUCUAAAAUAAAAGUUGAAACAUAAAAACAAAGCAAGACAAACAACAGCAAUUAAUGGGAUUGCAAAAAUAUAAGAAAAAAUGAAUUAGAGGGGGAAGCGAAUACAGUAGCAGUUUUACAUGUGUGAAAUGCUUAGGCUGUGGACAAAUAUAAUAAAUAUGGAACUUUUUUUUCUUAUAAAAAAUGCAAGGAUAUGCAAUUGAUUGGUGGGGAGGGGGGAGCUGAGUCCAGAAGUGAGUUAGCUGCCCAGAUAUGACCAAGCAUACCUUGGCUAUGGAUAACAACUGCUUUAGAGAAGGUUUGAGUCUUGCCAAGAAUGAUACCCUCCCUUGUGGAAGCUUCGUGAGAAGGCAAAUGUUUCAGGAGAGGAGCGGGAGUCAGGAGACUUGGUGGGAACCAGUUGUGCGAUCUGGGGCAGGUUUCCUUUUCCUUCCAGGUCCUCAUCUCUAAAAUGAAGUGACUGACCCAGGUAUACUCCAGGAUGUCUCAAUACACUCGCUUUUUCUCCUUAUGGUAGAAACAAAAUUUAGUUAAUUUUGAUUAAAAGACACCAAAGGCAAAACCCCUUCAAGUCUUGCAAUUGUUUCCUCUCUGGUUUCCCACCCAAGUCCAAGUCAGUGUCCUCUCCUCUUUCAGUGUCUGGUCUUGGCUAACACAUCACAAUGCUUUGCUUCAAAAUUUAGAAGACAGAGGAGAGGGGAAAAGAGAAACGACAAUGCGUUGCUUUUCCUGCCUGCCAGUGAUUAUAUUUGGAGGGAAGGAGAGGGAAAGAGAAUAAAUCUUACUGGAUCCUCAUCUCACAGUAAUUCUGUGGAACAUAUAGAGCAAGGAUUAUUUGCCAUAUUUUGUGGUCAAUAGAACUGAAACCAGAGAGGUCCAGUAGCCUCCUGAAACUCAUGCAGAUAACUAAUUAAACAUUUACUGGAUACCCCCUAUGCUUGACUUCAGGGAAACAAAGAAGAAUAAGGCACUAGCUGUGUGAUCUGAAGCAAAUGACUUAACUUCUCUGGCUUGACGCCAUUCUGUGAUUUGCUAGGUCCUUACAUUUCACACGUUAGUGUUUGGUCUCUGCAUCCUCCUGUUCUAUCACAGGAAAAGGCUGAAGCUUUUGCCUGGACUCUAACUGGGUUUAGGUUGUGUGAACCUCUAGAUGCAGUUAUCUGGGGCAAGAGGUGAGGUGCUGGUUUCCUUCCAGGCAGAUGUAGUUAGAGAGUUGGCUGCAGAAAAUGAUUUUGCUCUGUGUCUCUAAGAUCGUGGGCAGGUGGGAGCCCAAAGAGAGGCUUUCUGGAUUCACUUCACAUCAGAUUGUUAGUUGGGGGGAGUUAUUAUUUUUAAGCCAGCACCACCCUAAGCACUGCCUUGCUUGCUUGCUGUCUGGGACAUUCUUUAGCUUCUAUUCAUUCUGCAGCUCCCAUGGGCAAUACAAGUCCCUCUUCAGUCAGUUUCCCUGAUCUGUCCUUGCAAUUUCAGUCCCUAUACUUGUAGAGGAUCAGUAGCAGAGGAGAAACCAGACUAAAAAAAGAUAAAAUGAUCAAUGUUAAUAUGAACAUACCUAAUCGUAUGCAAGUUCAUGAACAUGUUUUGCUGUGACCCUGUGAGAAUGUUCCACAUAACCACCUGCCAGUGUUGUAGGGGAGUGAGGAGCAGGGCUGACUGUCUGAAUCUCAGUUUCUUUUCUUUUUGAUAUGGUUUGAAUCUGUGUCCCCACCAAAUCUCAUAUUGAACUGUAAUCGCCAGUGUUGUGGGUGGCACCUGCUGAGAGGUGACUGGAUCAUGGGGGUGGAGUUCUCACGAAUGGGUUAGCACCAUCCCAUUGUUCUUGUGACAUGAGUGACUGAGUUAUUGUGAGAGCUGGUCAUUUGAAGUGUGUGGCACCUCCCCAUGCGCUCUCUUCCUCCUGCUCUGGCCAUGUGAAGUGCCAGCUCCCUCUUGGCCUUCCUCCAUGACUGUAAGUUUCCGAGGCCUCCUCAGAAACAGAUGCUGCCAUGCAUCUUGUACAGCCUGCAGAAUCAUGAGCCAAUUAAACUUCCUGUCCUUAUAAAUUACCCAGUCUCAGGUAUUUCUUUAUAGCAAUGUGAAAAUGGACUAAUACACUUAUUUUGUUUAAUUUUAUUUUAUUUUGAGACAGGGUCUUGCUGUACCCAGACUGGAGUGCAGUGGUGUGAUCAUAGCUCAAUGCUGGCCCUAAGGGAUCCUCCUGCCUCAGCCUCUUGAGUAGCUGGGAAUACAGGCUCGUGCCACCACACCCAAGUUUGUUUUAUUUUUUUUGAGACAGGCUCUUUCUGUGUUGCCCCUGCUGGUCUUGAACUCCUUGCCUCAAGUGAUCCUCCUGCCUCAGCCUCCCAAAACGUUGGGAUUACAAGUGUGAGCCAACACCCCUGGCCAGGCUCUCACUUUCUAGGUGGCAUCAUGGGUGAAGUCUCUUUGGUUUCCUUACUGUAGAGUAGAGAUAAUAAUAGUACCUACCUGAGAGGAUUGUUUUGAGGACACAGUGUCCUAAUGCAUGUGAAGCACUUAGAGCAGUGCCUGACAUACACUAAAAACUAGGUACUGCUCAUCGGUUCUUAUUAUCUACAGGCAGUUAGUUCACAGGCUCACACACUGUCUCUUCACGGCUCUUUGAGGAUCCAUAAUUCUAAUCAUAAUUCAUCAUUUCUUCUUGGAGUAGCUUGAGAGCCUGACAUUAAUUUCCUCAGACAUUUAAGGAACCACAAGGUAAUGGGUUGUUAUCUCACUUUUUUUUCAAAAUGAAAUCAAGUUUAUUAAGAAAGAAAAGGAAUAAAAGAAUGGCUACUCCAUAGACAGAGCAAUCUAUUAUCUCAUUUUAUCAAUGAAAAGAUUUGAAUAAAAAAUUAAGUAUCAGUUUGUGCCCAGUCUCCUUGGGUGUCCAUAAAAAAGAUGGUAGAAGAAUCUAGAAUCUUGCCUGGCCUAGCUCAUCUUACUGUUGGCCCUGACAGCUAUGAGGGUGCACAGUAAGUUUCUCAUCAUGCUCGAAGGAUCCUGUCCUAUCAUUGGAAACAUGGCUGGCCUUUUCAGCCAAAGGACCAUCCCCAGAGACUCAUUCCCAGAGACUCCAGUCCUGAAGUCCUCAUGACACCCACGUCCUGAGGGACCCUUGCCCUCAAUCCCCAAGUUGAAAGUUUGCUGGGUUACAGCUGACCCUCAGGAGGCCUAGAGCAAAGGAAGGGACAAUGUCCUUCCUCUCUGUGGCCAGGGAGAGGACACAUCCAACCAGCCAAAGUGCUGGUAUCCUUGGAAGGCUGGGGUGGGAGUGGUAAGAGGGGUUUGUUAGGACCUGUAUUAUUUUUUCUUCAAUCAAAAUAAAGGUUUAUUAUAAGGAAAUAAGUUUAGAUUAUUCAGGUAAACAAAAAGAAACCAAAUAUAACCUGUAUGUCCUAUAAUAUCAAGUGUUCACCUAUAAUUUUAUUUGUUUCUCAUAAAUACCCAAAGGUGUAGAGUAACACCAAUGGAAGUAUGCUAUACAAAUCCAUUUCAGCAUUUGAUAAGGUAGAAAUUUUUAGUGGCAUAAAAUCUGGAAGAACAGAUGGGGCACCUUUAGAUGAAAUAAGGUCUGAGUUUCUGUGGAGGCUUCGCAAGAUGCAGGAUAACCUUUUCUCAUGGAGAGGGGUUCCAUUUUAAUGGCCAUCCAAGAAUUAAAAUAAGAAUUUUACAGUAAUGAAAUAGGCUUCUUCCAAAAUAGUACCGAUCACACUCUCUGCAGUGUGUUCAAUCAAAAUAGCUGUUAUAGUAUUUUUAAGUGUUGCAAACACCUGGUUCAUGAUGAAAAUCCUUGGGAAUCUUUAAAAGGAAGGAAAGGUCUGUGUUAGCUGGGAGUGAAUCCUGUAUGAGCAGAUCACAUCAAAAGGUCUUGCUCAAGUAUGUUGUAUGUUUCAAGUACAACAUUGGAUGUUCAGGGAAAUAAAGUGUCAUAAGACAGGGGUCCGCAACCCCUGGGCAACAGACCAACACCAGGCGGCACAGCAGGAGGUGAAUGGCAGGCAAACCAGGAAAGCUUCAUCUGUGUUUUCAGCUGCUCCCCAUUACUGCCUGAGUUCCGCCUCCUGUCAGAUCAUCAGCAGCAUUAGAGUCUCAUAGGAGCUUGAACGCUAUUGUGAACUGUGCAUGUGAGGGAUCCAGGUUGCGAGCUCCUUAUGAGAAUCUCAUGCCUGAUGAUCCAUCACUGUCUCCCAUCACCCCCAGACAGAACCAUCCAGUUGCAGGAAAACAAGCUCAGGGUUCUCUUUGAUUCUACAUUAUGGCAAGUUGCAUAAUUAUUUCAUUAUAUAUUACAAUGUAAUAAUAGAAAUAAAGUGCACAAUAAAUGUAAUGGGCUUGAAUCAUCCCCCAAAACACCCCCCUGUCCACAAGUCCCUGGAAAAAUUGUCUUCCCUGAAACUGGUCCCUGGUGCAAAAAAGGUGGGGGACCACUGGUAUAAGACACAACCAGCACCGCAAAGGAGCUUAUAGCUAUUGGGAUAUGGGGAAUUCAGAGGUCAAACCCAUUCUUCUUGUUUCUAAUAUGGUAAUACUGAAAAAUUAUUUGCCCAGAAUCUAAAAUUGGACAUGAGGAGACAGGAAAGGGAGAAUCCCAGGGAACACAGGGGGCACUGGGAGUGAGAGCUGAAACACUGGUGACUCUGGUUCAUAGAAGAGAUACCCUCUCAAUCACUUGAGGUCAGGAGUUCAAGACCAGCCUGGCCAACAUGGCAAAACCCCAUCUCUACUAAAACUACAAAAACUAGCCUGGCGUGGUGGUGGGCACCUGCAGUCCUAGCUACUUGGGAGGCUGAGGCAGGAGAAUCGCUUGAACCCAGGAGGCAGAGGUUGCAGUGAGCCAAGACUGUCACUGCACUCCCCUCCAGCCAGGGCAACAGAGCAAGACUGUCAAAAAAAAAAAAAAAAAAAAGAUGUCUUCAGCACCCCCUACUACACCUGAUUCUAGUUCUAACUUUGAGUUGAAAACAUCUCAUGUUCACUGUCUUUCCUGCUGGCAUCAAGACCUUAGUUCUUUUGGGCAGUGGCAGACAUGGGAUUUCUAUCACUCCUCCCACAUUCCCACCCUCCCUUUCAGAAAGCUGAGGCUCCAAGGAGGGAGGACCUCUGCCUGCAGGCUGGCUGAUACCUCAGUCGUUGCCUUUUCUGUGCUGGAGCUGUACAAGGCCAUUUCGUGUCCCAUUUAGCAAGUGUGGAGGGUUCUUUGAUUUGGGAGAGGAUAGCACAAGUCAUCCUGCCUCCGAUGGUGGGUGAAAUACCAUCUGAUUCAGAGCUUCCUUCGUGACUUCCUCCAGAACCGACUGCCUCAUUUGUGUCUCCAAAAUUAAAAAUAGCAAGGGUUAGAUCCUAUGCCUCUCCUAUUCCCUGGGGAUGCUGUGAUCGAGUGAUGACUUUAUCAACAAACUAUGAGGCUGUCGGUCUGUUCUCUUUUGAUCAGAAUCUAGGAAAAGGAGCAAGUAAUGUUAUUCUCUGAACUUUGCUGUAGUCCUCCCCAGGGCUUAAGGGCUCAGGACCCUGUUUGGCCCAGCAUUUUCAGCUGGUUCAUUUCAUGUUGAGCUUUGCUUUGUACACAUCAGUGUGUGAACAAGAUCAAUCUUUUAGCAAAGGAGUAGUUAAGGCAGUGCUACGGAGGAAAGCGUCAAGUGGGACUAUAGUGCCUGGAUUUCACCAUCAAAGAUCCCUUCCAUGGGCUACUUCUCACUGAGAUCCUUUUAACAGCUUCUUUAAAACGAAUACAAAGCUUUGGAAAGAGCCACACAAAUUUAAACUAAGGUGUGGCAAGGUUAUGUUACUCUAGGUCAGAGGUAUGGGUGUCAGAAGGCUCAGGGAGCCAUUAGGUCCUAGAGACAUUAGGUUUGAGACAAGAAGUUUUCAGUCUAGGAACAGUGGAUAACAGCAAAGAUACCAGCCCCAGGACAAGGCAGUGCCUGUAACCCUGUUGUUAUUGCCCAUUUUCUCCAGGACACCAUCCUCCCUCACAGAGGCGUAGUUAUUGGGGUUGGAAUGGGUGCUUGUGUUAGAGUAUGUAUUAAAAGUCAGUUCCCGUUUGGGCGCAGUGGCUCACGCCUAUAAUCCUAGCACUGCAGGAGGCUGAGGCAGGUGGGUCAUUUGAGGUCGGGAAUUUGAGACCAGCCUGGCCAACAUGGUGAAACCCUGUCUCCACUAAAAAUACAAAAAAAUUAGCUGGGUGUGGUGAUGCAUGCCUGUAAUCCCAGCUACUCAGGAGGCUGAGGCAGGAGAAUCACUUGAACCUGGAAGGCAGAGGUUGUAGUGAGCUGAGAUCAUGCCGCUACACUCCAGCCUGGACAAAAGAGGGAGACUCCAUCUCAAAAAAAAAAAAAAAAGUUAUUUUCUCUUUCAUUAAAAAAACCUCAUCUAUCUGAUCUAUGUGUCCAACUGUAGGCCCCAAGUCAUAUUUGAAGAUAAAAUCUCAGGGAUAUCCCAGGUCCCUGACAAUGGAGAAAGUAACCAGAUUACAUACAGGGGCAGUGUGAGUCUCCUUCUUAAGCUCUCCUCACACCCCCAGAGCAGCAGCCACCUGCCUUUGGAAGAAGUGAAUCAUGGCUGGAACUCUAGGCUUGGACCCCUCUCUGAAAGCACGGCUUGGCUUCAGUCAUUCUUAUCAUCCCUUUUAAUCACAAAUAGAAGCCUUCCAGAGCAAUUAGCUCAGCCCCUUCGAUUGUCCCCACAGCCACAGACUCAGGCAUGCCUGUGCCCUCUUGAUGGCUUUUGCCAUGGACAAUCCUAGGGACAAAAGUAGUGUUUCAUGGCAACCCUGAGAUGACACACACCUAGAGGUAAUUCUACACACAGGGUCAGCACUAGGUAUAAAUAGCAAUGAGGUUUGUCUACAUCACCCUCCAUUGGCACCUUUAUGCCUUUUACAUCUUUCCUGUCCUUUCUCUUCUGAACUUAUUGCUUUGAUACACAUAGGCCAGGGAUGGUAAAUACAUUCCGUUUUCAAUGCUGACUGUGAUUAAUCAGUAGGGAUCAGUGUAUUUAGAAAGAUAAAAUAGCAGCAUGUGAAUUCUGGAGUCAAUUGCUAAUGUCUGCCAUGGAGAUAUUUGCAUCUACUCAUUCAUCCAUCUGCCCUAGAAGGCAAGAUUGUGUGUUAUUCAGCUUCAAAUCUCUAAGUAUUAGUGCCCAAUUAUGUAUUAUAGUUGAACGGCACUAAAGUGGAAUCUUUAAUGUCUGACUUUAAUCUGUAGCAACUGUGGAAUCUUUAAUGUCUAACUUGCUUGUUUUCAGCUCUGCCCAAAUUUCAGCUGUCAUGGAAUGAGUGAUGUAAUAUAAUGGAAAUGCAUCAUCUCAGUUUCCCCAUGGCCUGAAUGUGCAUACAAGAUGAGAACCAGUACAGGAAAAGACAGGAUGUGAGGAGUUUUUAAAAAUUGAGGAAAUAUAGAAGGAAAGUAAGGAUGAAGGUGAAGAUGAAGGAAUGUCAGAGAUGCCAGCACCAGCAUCCCCAAACACAUAGUACCAUGUCCUGCUGAAGAACUCUUUAGAACAUACAUAUAAAUGGUAUGUGCAGUGGUAUGCUGCAGCAGACUUAAACAAACUUGCAAGAGCUACUUGUUAAAUUUUCAGGAAUUUUGUGAGUCAGUUGACAUCAUGUUGGUAGAUUGAAAUUAGCUAUGAUAACAGUAUUUAUACCAUAGGAAUGAGCAAAGGCUAAAACAUUUGCUAGUACGUCAUUGCAUAUAUGACCCACAAACUCUGGAUGUAGAUAGGAAUGAAAUCAUUAGUCCCAGUUGAUAGCAUCCAAAAUAGGCUAAGCUGUCUUCAGUUUUGAGUCUCUGUGGGGAAGUAGAACUGGCGCUCUGGUUACUCUUCAUGCCCACUGGGGACCAGUGGUUGCUGUUCUUUUUAGUAUUCUGGGAUUUGAUUGGCCCUCUGAUAUGAUUUGGAUGUUUUGUUUCCUCCAAAUCUCAUGUUGAAAUGUAACAUCCAGUGUUGGAGACUGGCUUAGUGGGAGGUCACGGAGGUGGAUCCCUCAUGAAUGGCUUGAUGCCCUGUCCUCAUUGUAAUGAGUGAGUUCUCACUCUAGCUGUUGUUUAAAAAAAAAAAGGCCUGGCACCUCCUUACUCUCUCUUGCUCCCACUCUUGCUAUGUGACUGCUCACUCCCCCCUGCCACGAUUGGAAGAGUCCUGAGGCUCUUCCCAGAAGCAGAUGCCGACACUAUGCUUCCUGUACAUCCUGCAGAACUGUGAGCCUCUUUUCUGUAUCAUUACCCAGUCUCAUCAGAGGCUCACCACUCUCAUCAGAGUGGAAUAGUGAUGUCCUGUCAAACAUGGAUGGUGGAAAGGGCAGCUGCAUGGAGGGCUCUUAGUCUCUUAGUUAUUACUUGAUACUGUAAAUUAGGUAUCAUGUUGCAUUCCUGCAAUGGCAAUUUGAAGGGAAAAUGACACAAGAACUCAAGAUCAUGUCAUUGACUUAGGAAUGCUUUUUUACUCCAUUAAAAUGAGCCCCAGAGGACAGGCCCAAGCCUACACGGGCAGGAUUCUGUUGGGAAACUCACCUGAGGUGGCUGGGAAGAAAGGAUUUUCUCACUGUGGCUCAGAUGAUUUCUUAGUGUAACUCUUUUCUUCUCUAACAAGGGUGUAGAUGGCAAAGUCUAUACCCUUUGUGAGAAAAAGAGACUUCAGGAUUGCCAGAUUGCAGCUACUGUCUCUCCUUGGAGCAGGAUUCCACCUUUUCCAUGGCUGGGGCCGUUGACACAUGUCACUAUGCACUGCUCUUCCUGCUGGGGUGAGGAGUGGGGGUGCUGGUAGAGACCGUGAGAAGGUCCUGAGAAAAUGACUGAUUUGGAGGCCAUUCCUUCAUUAUACCAUGCUAGGGGCAAUCUAGAGACUCCUCCUUUGCCAGGUCGUGAAUUUGGAACCAUGGCUGAAUGAGACCACAGGACUGUCCUGCGCACUGACAAUGUCAUUGAUUCAGAGGAGCAGGUAUGUGUUUAGUGAGGAUAGCAGCAGGGAAAACUAGAGAAGCACGAUAGAUAAAAUGAAUGCAAGAAGGACCAGUCUCUAGAAAGGGGAGAGGAUGAUAGAAAGAUAACCCUUGAAUAGUGUCUUCUCACUUCCUGAAGUAUUUUCAGAGCUUCAGUGAUAUUCAGUCCUCUCUCAUAAUUUCCACCACCUCUCCUUUCUUUCCAUGUACUUUAUUGUUUAUUUAAUAUUGUCUUUAAAAUCGCUCACUUAAAAAAAAACCUACUCAGCUUCAUGUUAAAAACAGAAUUCGUGAAAUCAUAGGUUGAUAGGUGAGUUUUAGUUUCUCUAACAUAUAUGACUAUAAAGACAUGACUGUUAAAAUGGAAGACCCUUCAUGCAUCCACUCCUGAAGUCAUGGUGGGUCCCCAUGCUGCACCAGGAUGGGAGUAAUGGUCUCCAUGGACAGAGACAGAUGCCACUUAGAACGAAGCUGCAGAAAGCACCGGAUUUUGUAUAUCUGUAAUUCAUCAAUGCCUCCCCAUCUCCUGCCCAACUCACAUAACAUCAACUAACAGUGGUUGCUGUGGCAUUCAUUCACUGAAGCUCUCAUUUGGCAUCAGACACAUUUUCCCCCCUUUUGAAAUGCCUCAGGCAUGUGAACAAGAGUGAGAGCCACCUGCUCUCUGUCAGAUCAGGUGUUGCGUUGUCAAGAAUGGAGUUGCUGCCUGCCUAAUGUACUACAAGGUAUUCCACUUAAAAACAGGGUCUCUGAAGGGAAUAAUCGUAGAAUAAGCUAUUUCCCUCUAUCUAAAAUGAAGGAAGAAAAAUAUCGAGAAGAAAUACAUAUUUCUGCUCUGUCCUCUGCCUCCUCCUUUUCGUGCCACUUCUCUUGUCUGUUCCUGAUUUUCUUAAUCCUUUUCUCACGAUGUUGUCUCCUCAUCUUAACCCAAAAAUAUGAAUCUAACUUCUAUCUUUUUGUUUAUAAUAGGACACAUUUUCCUGGUAGAUGCUUAAGCCUGAUAUGCACUUUCUUGGUGGCAUAAAUCACUUCUGGAAGGGGACUGUGGGGCAUAAAUCACUUCUGGAAGGGGACUGUGGGGCAGGUCUCAAACAAAAACCUUAACCAUCAGCUUCUAAUGGUGGUCUUCGCUGUCUGAUGGGAUUAUACGUCCACUAGGGGGCGCUCUUCCCUUUAAAUGUCAAAAAUUGUAUCUGCACUGGAAGUCAAUAUUGCAACAGGAACAAUGGAAAUGUUUAUUUCCUUUCGGAAAUAGCUGCUACUGAGCACAGCUCUGGGAGGAGAUUAUUAAGGAUAUACCAGUUGCAAAGAAAAUACUUGGUUGUAGCAGCAUAUUCUACUAUUGUAGACAUAAUGUCAACGAACAGGGGUGGCCGUAGUUGCUGUGGGAUUCCUGAUGUAGUGACUUCUAGGAGAUCCUUUCCUACUCCCAGUGCCAGCUAGCAAAUUUCUCUCUCUAAAUUCAACCCGGAGUCAAGGUAUCCUUCUCAAUCAUUUCACAAUCAUUUGGGCCUGUAAUCUUUCUAGGUUGAAUUCUAGGUUUGAUUUGGUGACUUUCAAUCUGGUGAGAUUUCCAAGUCCUAACCCUUCACUGCUCAAACAAGGAAACAGGCACAGAGAGGUAGAGCAGUGUGUCUAGACCACACAGCACAAAGGGGCAGAUCUUCUGAUACCAUGUUUCCAGUUACUUCACUUCUUAGAUGUCUGUGUCGUCAUUACAAAUACCUUCUUCCAGCUUUCAAUAGUGUCUUUUGUCAGUAAGACUGAUUUAGUCUUUUCAGACUUGACAGGAUUCACUGUAGCACUGAGCUUGUUAUAUUUUACUGUAGACAUAAGGUGAUGGUAGCUUUUAUAUACUUGGGCUACUGGAGAGUUUUUUCAAAUAAUUCACACAUAUUGAAUUUUAAGUGAAUGACAUUUGCUGGGCUCUUAACACAUGAACCACCGUGACCAGGAGAUAAUAAAAGAGAACAGAAGAGCACUGACUGUCUCAGCAGCCAUGGACUGAUUUUUGAGUUCUGGCCACAUCUUCAAGAAUGAGUUACUUUGGACAAAACUACUUAAUCUUCUUUGGGUUUCCAUCAUCUUUUCUGAAAAGGCUAAUAGCAUAGAAACAUGGAUUGAGCCAGAGACUUUCUGUGGAUUAUUUUGUUUACUCCCUGAAAUAGUUCUCAGAGGUCAAUACAAUUCUCAUUGUCCCCAUUUUACAGAAAAGGAAACUGAGAUCCAGAGAGGACAAGUGAAUUUCCCAAGAUUGUCCAGUUGAUACGGAGCUGAGCUGGAAAGUGAGUGGAUCUCUCUGGUUCUGAAAGCUUUGCUCACAAGCACAGGAUGAGACCUCCACUCAAUCAUAAGCACUGAGACCCUUCCACAGACUCAGCAGGUCCUGCUGUCCCUGAAGCUUGACACUCUCAUUUCGAACCACAGAGAGAACCUAAAAAGGAAACAGUGGAAGGAAAAUAAUAUGAUAUUUGAGAGGCAGUGUGGAUUAUCGGGGGACAUGGGUUCCCUUCUCUCCCACACACACAUGGCAUGAUGCUAAGCAGGUCACUUCACCUCUCCAGGGUUGUUUCCUCAAUUGAGAAAUGAGGGGGUUGAGAUGUGUACCAGCCCUGGGGUGCUCAAUGCUGCAGUCUAGGGUGGUGUGGACUGAAAUCAGAAUGCUUUCUCUUCCGCUCUGGGUGCUGCCACAUGAUCUCUCGUUCUCACUCCCCACCCCCAGUCUUGCCCAUCUGAGUUUCAGAUUAUUUUUUCCUUCCUUCUCUUCAAUUUCCUUAUUGAGGCAGCUCUUUCCUGCUGCCUCUGUCCCCGCCGGAGCUGUCUGAGCCAGUAGAGCCCGUGGAAGCCAAGGGGAACCUGACUUGAAUCUUGCUUUCUGACAUGCUGGCUGUGGCUUGCUUAGGAACUGAAUAAGCGCUUCUUACUCCUGUGUUCACCACAGUGGAACUGUGGGUGCAGAAAUGUAACUCUCAACCAGCCCAGUUUAAUCAGCAAAAGACAACAGAGCUUGCAGGCGGUGUCACGUUGGGUCUCUGAACACACCAUGGCUGCUGUCGCCCUUUUCAUCAAAAUGAUUGAAAACAUAUUUCUAAAUAGAAUUGAGGGUCUCUGUCUAAAUCAAACCGCUGUAUUGGUCUUAUUGUCCCGAUCUGAAGUGCUUCAGCUUCUAGUGCACGGUGGCUUCUCAAUAGAAGUUCAUUAUUGUUGCCGAUGAUAACAACUGUAUAGAUGCACAGAAAAGAAGUUCAUUCAAACCAAGCGAGAAUGAAAAUUGCUCUUGUUCAGCAGCUCUACCAGCCCUGCUUUCCCUUUCUGCUGGAAAGGAAGUUGAAUUUAAAAGCUUAUCUUGGUUCGAUUUUCUUUUUCCCUAAACGAAAAUAGAAUAGGUAUUUAGCUUGAAAAUUUGAAAGAGCUCAAUUCAAUUGGUUAACAAAACCCACAGACACACACGUACUUAACGUGCACAUCUUAACAUCCUCAUUAUUUAAAAUCUCAAUCACCAGAAAUGAUCCCCAAAAUUGUAAGACUCCAAUACACGAUUGAACAAAGGACAUAAACAGAUGAUUCAUAAGGAGGAAAAACACAUAACAAGAAAUAUUCAACACACAGAGAAUAGAAUACUGUAGGUGCUAAUCAAAAUAUCAAAGAUUUUUUAUUAGAGCAAAAGAGGUCCUUACUUUUGUAUAAUGAUUUCCCAGAAAAUACAUGAAAUUCACUCACGCUCUCCCAAAUCAACAUUACUGUCUAUGGAAGAAACGAUACAACCAAGCACACAGAUCCCAGCCUCUGCUGGGAAAAUCCUGUGUAAAUCCACCAUCUUUUUUGUUUCUUAAGUUCUUCCUUGGUAAAAAGUUGUUUUGCUCACGCCUGUAAUCCCAGCACUUUGGGCAGCGAAGGCAGGCAGAUAACUUGAGAUCAGGAGCUCGAGACCAGCCUGGUCGACAUGGUGAAACUCCGUCUCUACUAAAAAUACAAAAAUUAGUUGGACAUGGUGGCAGGUACCUGUGAUCCCAGCUACUCGGGAGGCUGAGGCAGGAGAAUCGCUUGAAACCGGGACGUAGAGGUUGCGGUGAGCCGAGAUUGCGCCACUUCACUCCAGCCUGGGCAGAAGAGUGAGACUCGGUCUCAAAAGAAAAAAAGAAAAGAUUGUAUUCAGACUCUGAAAUUUCACAAUUCUCUCCAGGUAUGGUUUUUCUUUGCCCAAAGUCUUUAAGUCUUCACUAAUAGAUAUGUAGACACCUAACAAGUAUUAGACCUGAAAGUGUUCUUCAAAGCAUAGAAUUCAGAUGGUGAUUUUACAGCUGAAGAGAGUGAGGCUCACAUUCUGAAGGUGCAAAUCAGACUCUCUUUAAUGUAAGUGUUUUUCCUUGGGGUAAUGGUCAAUAUCCAUCAAAAUCCAGGUGGCACAUGCUUGAUGCCCUUCUGAAAAGAUUUAGUCUGCCUCACCACUGGGUUUAGCAGGGCAGAGCCAGGGUCUCAGAAUACACAAUGAGCUGCCCAGGUGAAAGAAGAUCAUACUAGGAUUUCUGCUUUCUAAUGUAUCUUGUCUUUUUUAAGUUUUCAUUUUUCUUACUGUUAUAAUUUAUAGGUUAGUAGAGUACUUUACUUCUUGGGGAUACCUAAUUAAAGUUGUUUUGCUGGUAGGAUAAUGUUAAAAAAAAGUUUGCAGGCAGCUAGAACAGAGAGGGAUGUGAAUGUGUCUGAUCUUGUGCAAUUCAGGAAACAGGGCCUGCAGGGUGAAGGGGAGAAGCAAGGCUGGCUAUGGUCAGAGGAGAUGACCAGCAGAGCUCCUGAUAGAGGGGAGGAGUCAACUCCACAGGCUGCGUUGAGCUUAAGACAACUGAAAAAUUCUGCUGAAUCACAAGGACGUGCUGACAUGCUGGGGAACACGCACUAUUUUUUGAAGACCAUCUUGCCAGAAAAGGGCCUUUGUGACUGCUCAGGUCCUGUCCUGGCACCGUGGGCUCAGGAUCUCAGGACUCAGCUUGUGGGGAGCAGGGGACUGUGACAUGCCGAGCCAAAGGUCCCAUGGAGAUGGUUCCAAUUGGGAGUCAGUGGCAGAGAUGCCAAGACAAGCUAAGGGGCACGGCAAUCUGAGCAUCCAAGCCACCUAGCACAGACACAGGGACAGGCAAGUGAACUAGAGACCUUAGCGGGCUUGUCAGAGGGAAAGCGGAAGGCAGCAGGGGCCCAGACGCAAACUCCCUGUGUCAGAUAGAGCUGUGUGCAGUGGAAAUGAAGGCAGAACCAGAAAGCCUUACAGGUAAUGUUCAGUGGAACUCCAUUAAGUCCUUCAAGUCGUCUUGGCACCGCUGAGCCAGAUAUUAGAGAGGACACACAGUGCACUUCUGAGCCUCGCAUUUGUCUCUCUUACCGAUCAAAAUCUCUGGACAAUCAGCUUGCACAUUUGUUCUUUUAUUCCCAAGGAGAACAUGAGGAAAACACAUAGAUAUUGCCCAAAUGUAUAAUUUACCAGGUUAAAAAAAAGCCUAAUGGCUUUCCGAUUAUGUCUAGUGUCCCAGCCGCUUCUGUCAGGAGUGCAGGUGUAAGUAAUCUCACGUGCCUCUGGUCCGGUCUCCUUGUGGGGGUCCAGUACCCGACCCAUCUUGGGAGAUGCUGCUAUUCCAACCUCAGGAUCUCCUAAUGGAGUUGAGAUGUGAGGCCGAAUCGAAUUCACCCUCCUUCUCCUUAAAGCUAGUGCAACUCACAGAAAGUUAAGUGCCAAAUGGGAAACAAACUGUCAGUUUUCCUAACAGGCGGGCAGGUGCAUCUUAACUUCCAAGACUUUUUUGGGAAGCUGGAGAGGAGAAAGUGACUUAGACCUGAGGACAGAGGAGAUCUACCUGCUUCUCUAAUUGUAAACCUUGAGCCUGGCUGUUACCUGGACUGUAGCGCACAGGGGUGAUGCUGGGCAGGUACAGCUCCCAGCACUCCUGCUAUGGACAACCUCACCUGCUAGAAGCUGACCCAGUCACAAACUACCUAAGUUUGUAGCUGAAGCUGUAGCACCUGUUCUAGAACACAAGAAUCCGAAGAAGAGAUGGGCUGAAGUUAGCACUGAUUUUCUUUAGAAAUAUUUAUAGAAACUAUAACAUUUCCGAGUUAUCUAGAAAUGUUAUUUUUGAUUUGUUUGGUUUUCUGAUUUUUUUUCCUUUAUCUCAAAAUUAAACAUUUUGAGAUAAUUGUAGAUUCACGUGCACUUUUCAGAAAUAACAUAGAGAGAUCCCUGUAUCUUUCACCCAGUUCCUCCAACUUGGUAAUAUCUUGCCAAACCAUUGUACUAUUUCAUAGUGGGGCACUGAUAUAGAUACCAUCAAGAUACAGACCAUUUCCUUGGCAACAAGAAUCCCCCACAUCCACUUCCCUCCUGCACCCACCACUUUCUUAAUCCCUGGCAACCACUAUUCUCUGUAGCUAUAAUUUUGUCUUUGCAUGAGUGUUAUAUAAAUGGAAUUAUGCAGUAUGUAACCUUUUGGGAUUACCCUUUUUUUUUCUUUCUUUUGAGACAGAGUCUUGCUCUGUUGUCCAGGCUGGAGUGCAGUGGUAUGAUCUCGGCUCACUGCAACCUCUGCCUCCUGGGUUCAAUUGAUUCUCCUGCCUCAGCCUCCGGAGUAGCUGGGACUACAGGUGCGCACCAUCACGCCCAGCUGAUUUUUCUAUUUUCAGAAGAAAUGAGGUUUCACCAUGUUGACCAGGAUGGUCUCCAUCUCUUGACCUUGUGAUCUGCCUACCUCGGCUUUCCAAAGGUGCUCAUGGGGUGACAGGCAUGAGCAACUGCGCCCAGCCAGGAUUGCCCAUUUUUUUAUUUGCAGCAUAAUCCUCUGAAAGUUGUUGCAUGUAUCAAUAGCUUUUAAAUUUUUAUUGCUGAAUAGUAUUCCAGGGUAUGGGGUACCACAGUUUGUUUAACCAACCACCUGUCAAAGGAUACCUGGGUUGUUUCUAGUUUGGGUUAUUGCAAGAUGCUAUGGACACUGAUAUACAGGUAUUUUUGAGAAUGAAUGUUUGUAUUUCUCUAAGGUGAAUAUCCAGAAGGGCAUUUGCUUGGUCAUAUGAUACAUGCAUAUUGAUUUUUUUUUUUUUUUUUGAGAUGAAGUCUUACUCUGUUACCCAGGCUGGAGUGCAGUGGCACAAUCUUUGCUCACUGCAAUCUCUCCCUCCCGGGUUCAAGUGAUUCUCCUGCCUCAGCCUCCUGAGUAGUUGGGAUUACAGGUAUGUGUCACUGCACCUUGCUAAUUUUUUGUAUUUUUAGUAGACGGGUUUUCACCAUGUUGGACAGGCUGGUCUCAAACUCCUGACCUCAGGUGAUCUGCCUGCCUUGGCCUCCUGAAGUUCUGAGAUUAUAGGCGUAAGCCACUGCACCUGACCACUUUGGUUUAAAAAAAAGCAGACAGUUUUUUUAAAGGUUGAGUUUUGAGAGUUCUUAAUAUAUAUAUUCUAGAUGCUAGUUCUUUGUCAAAUAUGUGAUUUGAAAAUCUUUUCUCUGUCUAUAGCCUGUCUUUUCACCCUCUCCAUAGUCUUUCACAGAGCAAAAAUUUUUAAUUGUGAUGCAGUCUUAUCAAUUUUUUCUUUUAUAGAUCACACUUUUAUUGUUAACUCUUAAGAACAAUUUGUCUAGCCCUAGACCCCCAGGAUUUUUUACUAUGUUUUCUUGUAAAAGUUUUAGUUUUACAUUUUACAUUUAAGUCACUUUAUAUUUUGAGUUAAUUUUUUAAAUUUAGGUGUGAGAAUUAGGUUGAGCUGGGUUUGUUGUUGUUGUUUGUUUGUUUGUUUUUAACCCAUGAAUUUCCAUUUGUUCCAGCACAAUUUGCUGGAAAUAUUUUUCUUCCAUUAAAUUGCUUUUGUAACUUCAUUGACGAUCACUUGGGCAUAUCUGCAUGGGCCUAUUUUUAGGUUUGCUCUUCUGUUCUAUUGAUUAUUGUGUCUAUUCUUCCACCAGCAUCAGUCUUGGUUACUGCAGCUAUAUAAUAAGCUGAAAAUCAGGUAGACAGAUUCGUCUUAUUUUGUUCUUCCCUUUCAAAAUGGUUUCAGCUAUUCUAGUUCAUUUGUCUGUCCAUAUGCAUUUUAGAGUAGUCUUGUCUGUAUCUACAAAGAAAUCUUGCUAUGGCUUUAAUAGGAAUUUCAUUAAACCUGUAUAUCAAUUUGGCAGUCAGUUAGUACCUUUGCUACGGUGAAUCUUAUGCUAUGGUAUGUCUCUCCAUUUAUUUAGAUCUUUGAUUUCUUACAGUAUUUUGUAGUUUUCAGCAUACAAGCCCUGCGCAUAUGUUAGAUUUGCAAUUACAUUAGUUUGCAAUAUCUUCUGUAACAAAUGCUACAAGCUGAACGGCUUAAACAACAGAAAUUUACUUUCCCACAGUUCUAGACGCUAGAAAUCUGAAAUCAAGACAUCAGCACGGUUGGCUCCUUCCUAGAGCUGUGAGGGAGAAUCAGUUCCAGAGCCCUCUUCUUGGCUUUUGGUUGGCUGUCUUCUCCCCAUGUCUCCUCACAUCACUUUCCCUCUGUGCACUUCUGUCUCUGUGUCCCAGUUUCUCCGUUUUAUAAUGGUGUUGUCAUAUUGGAUUAGAACCUACCCUAAUAACCAUAUUUUAACUUUACUCUGGUAAAAACUCUAUCUCUAAGUAAGACCAUAUUCUGAGGUAUGAGGUUUAAGAUCCCAACAUAUCUUUUUGGGAUGAGAGGGGCAAAGUAUAACAACACCUAAGUAAUUUAUUUAUUUAUAUA